AAUAGAUACCCGGGUAGUCCACGCCGUAAACGAUGAGUGCUAAGUGUUGGGGGUUUCCGCCCCUCAGUGCUGCAGCUAACGCAUUAAGCACUCCGCCUGGGGAGUACGGUCGCAAGACUGAAACUCAAAGGAAUUGACGGGGGCCCGCACAAGCGGUGGAGCAUGUGGUUUAAUUCGAAGCAACGCGAAGAACCUUACCAGGUCUUGACAUCCCGGUGACCACUAUGGAGACAUAGUUUCCCCUUCGGGGGCAACGGUGACAGGUGGUGCAUGGUUGUCGUCAGCUCGUGUCGUGAGAUGUUGGGUUAAGUCCCGCAACGAGCGCAACCCUUAUUCUUAGUUGCCAUCAUUUAGUUGGGCACUCUAAGGAGACUGCCGGUGAUAAACCGGAGGAAGGUGGGGAUGACGUCAAAUCAUCAUGCCCCUUAUGACCUGGGCUACACACGUGCUACAAUGGACGGUACAAACGGUUGCCAACCCGCGAGGGGAGCUAAUCCGAUAAAACCGUUCUCAGUUCGGAUUGUAGGCUGCAACUCGCCUACAUGAAGCC
rnacentral:rRNA from 1 species